CAGCCGCCGCGGUAAUACGAAGGGUGCAAGCGUUAAUCGGAAUUACUAGGCGUAAAGCGUGCGUAGGCGGUUUGUUAAGUCUGUUGUGAAAUCCCCGGGCUCAACCUGGGAAUGGCAAUGGAUACUGGCAAGCUAGAGUGUGUCAGAGGAUGGUGGAAUUCCCGGCGUAGCGGUGAAAAGCGUAGAGAUCGGGAGGAACAUCAGUGGCGAAGGCGGCCAUCUGGGACAACACUGACGCUGAGGCACGAAAGCGUGGGGAGCAAACAGGAUUAGAUACCCGCGUAGUCCCUGUCUCUUAUAC
rnacentral:rRNA from 1 species